AGCCCUGGGGUGUUAUCAUAUGAGAUUGCAAAUCUUAAGAAGCAAGUUAAAACUUGCCGGGGCUU
rnacentral:tRNA from 1 species